AUUGAACGCUGGCGGCAGGCCUAACACAUGCAAGUCGAGCGGAUGAAGGGAGCUUGCUCCUGGAUUCAGCGGCGGACGGGUGAGUAAUGCCUAGGAAUCUGCCUGGUAGUGGGGGAUAACGUCCGGAAACGGGCGCUAAUACCGCAUACGUCCUGAGGGAGAAAGUGGAGGAUCUUCGGACCUCACGCUAUCAGAUGAGCCUAGGUCGGAUUAGCUAGUUGGUGGGGUAAAGGCCUACCAAGGCGACGAUCCGUAACUGGUCUGAGAGGAUGAUCAGUCACACUGGAACUGAGACACGGUCCAGACUCCUACGGGAGGCAGCAGUGGGGAAUAUUGGACAAUGGGCGAAAGCCUGAUCCGGCCAUGCCGCGUGUGUGAAGAAGGUCUUCGGAUUGUAAAGCACUUUAAGUUGGGAGGAAGGGCAGUAAGUUAAUACCUUGCUGUUUUGACGUUACCAACAGAAUAAGCACCGGCUAACUUCGUG
rnacentral:rRNA from 1 species